UUAUUCAUUAAUAUUAAAUUUUUUCCACAGUAUGUACAAUGUAGUUAUAUAUUGGAAUAAAAUAUGCAAAGUGAGAUAGCAAAUCUUGAACGCGGCGGGGAAUACUUUGUGAGUGUUCCUUUGCGAUGUCACUAAUGUCACUGACAAGAAUCAACCGUUGUAUGUUGAAAACUUGGCAUUCAAAUAUAAUAUGGUUUAUGUCAGCAUUUAUCUUGAAACAGUGGUUGCAUCUGUUGUCAUUUGUGAUUUUAAUUCUGUUGAGAUGGGAUGGAACUAAACAAUGACCGAAACGUAGACGAUUGAUGAUAGUGAUAAAUUUUCUAUUGUAAUAUUUGAAUUUGCUGUACCAAGGUGUCACUGGUAAUGAUCCUGAAAUAAUAACAGAUGCUGAUAUGGGGGAACCUACAACUAACUGAGAAAGCUGUGCAGGAUAUAAAAUAUUUUUAAGCACAAUACUAUUACUGGAAGAUAAUUCCUUUAUACAAAAUCUUUCUGCCAGUUGCAAACGUCUUAGAGACAAUGGAGGUCGGACCUCAUACACUGAUGGCCUCACAUUUACACU